UACGAAGGGGGCUAGCGUUGUUCGGAAUUACUGGGCGUAAAGCGCACGUAGGCGGAUACUUAAGUCAGGGGUGAAAUCCCGGGGCUCAACCCCGGAACUGCCUUUGAUACUGGGUAUCUCGAGUCCGGAAGAGGUGAGUGGAAUUCCGAGUGUAGAGGUGAAAUUCGUAGAUAUCGGGAGGAACACCAGUGGCGAAGGCGGCGAUCUGGGUCGAAACUGACGCUGAGGUGCGAAAGCGUGGGGAGCAAACAGG
rnacentral:rRNA from 1 species